GGUUAAGUUAAUAAGGGCGCACGGUGGAUGCCUUGGCACUAGUAGUCGAUGAAGGACGGGACUAACACCGAUAUGCUUUGGGGAGCUGUAAGUAAGCAUUGAUCCAGAGAUUUCCGAAUGGGGAAACCCGG
rnacentral:rRNA from 1 species